AAGAGAGGAGCUUGCUCUUCUUGGAUGAGUUGCGAACGGGUGAGUAACGCGUAGGUAACCUGCCUUGUAGCGGGGGAUAACUAUUGGAAACGAUAGCUAAUACCGCAUAACAAUGGAUGACACAUGUCAUUUAUUUGAAAGGGGCAAUUGCUCCACUACAAGAUGGACCUGCGUUGUAUUAGCUAGUAGGUGAGGUAACGGCUCACCUAGGCGACGAUACAUAGCCGACCUGAGAGGGUGAUCGGCCACACUGGGACUGAGACACGGCCCAGACUCCUACGGGAGGCAGCAGUAGGGAAUCUUCGGCAAUGGGGGCAACCCUGACCGAGCAACGCCGCGUGAGUGAAGAAGGUUUUCGGAUCGUAAAGCUCUGUUGUAAGUCAAGAACGAGUGUGAGAGUGGAAAGUUCACACUGUGACGGUAGCUUACCAGAAAGGGACGGCUAACUACGUGCCAGCAGCCGCGGUAAUACGUAGGUCCCGAGCGUUGUCCGGAUUUAUUGGGCGUAAAGCGAGCGCAGGCGGUUUGAUAAGUCUGAAGUUAAAGGCUGUGGCUCAACCAUAGUUCGCUUC
rnacentral:rRNA from 1 species